UACGGAGGGAGCUAGCGUUGUCCGGAAUCAUUGGGCGUAAAGGGCGCGUAGGUGGCCCGGUCAGUUCGUGGUGAAAGCGCGGGGCUCAACCCUGCGUCGGCCAUGAAUACUGCCGCGGCUGGAGCACUGUAGAGGCAGGCGGAAUUCCGGGUGUAGCGGUGGAAUGCGUAGAGAGUCCGGAAGAACACCGGUGGCGAAGGCGGC
rnacentral:rRNA from 1 species